rnacentral:rRNA from 1 species
GACAGAGGGUGCAAACGUUGUUCGGAAUUACUGGGCGUAAAGCGCGUGUAGGCUGCUUGGAAAGUCGGAUGUGAAAGCCCUGGGCUCAACCUAGGAAGUGCAUUCGAAACUUCUGAGCUUGAGUGUCGGAGAGGAAGGCGGAAUUCUCGGUGUAGAGGUGAAAUUCGUAGAUAUCUAAAGGAACACCAAUGGCGAAGGCAGCUUGCUGGGUCAUAUCUGACACUGAGAUGCGAAAGCGUGGGGAGCGAACGGG